rnacentral:rRNA from 1 species
CCUACGGGAGGCAGCAGUGAGGGAUAUUGCGCAAUGGGCGAAAGCCUGACGCAGCGACGCCGCGUGAGGGAAGAAGGCCUUCGGGUCGUAAAGCCCUUUUCUGUGGGACGAUAAUGACGGUACCACAGGAAUAAGCCACGGCUAACUACGUGCCAGCAGCCGCGGUAAUACGUAGGUGGCUAGCGUUAUCCGGAUUCACUGGGCGUAAAGAGCGCGUAGGCGGUGUGCUAAGUUGGACGUGAAAGCCCCCGGCUAAACCGGGGGAGGUCGUCCAAGACUGGUGCACUUGAGGGUGGACGGGGAAAGCGGAAUUCCGGGUGUAGGGGUGAAAUGCGUAGAUAUCGGGAGGAACACCAGUGGCGAAGGCGGCUUUCUAGACCACUCCUGACGCUGAGGGGCGAAAGCGUGGGGAGCGAACGGGAUUAGAUACCCGUGUAGU